CUUGUGAGCUCUGCUCUGGAUGUGAGCUCUGCUCUGGCGAGCUUUUUAGCUCUGCUCUGGCGAGUUUUAGCUCUGCCCUAGCGAGUUUCCAGCUCUGCUCUGGCGAGCUUUUUAGCUCUGCUCUGGCCGAGUCUUUUAGCUCUGCUCUGCUCUGGUGGCAGAGCUGAGAUCGAGUAUCUGAGAUCGUGAUCGAGUGUACUACACUUGAGAUAUUUUGUUUUUACCACAUGCACAUUAUCUUAAAUGGCAAGUGGAUUAGGAGGUAGGAGUUAAGGGGGACAUGCUUUAAUUAUAAAGUAAAAAUGUUGGGAUAACACUUUGAUUCAAGUGGGAUAAAAUUCUUGAGCAAGUCAUUAUCCUAAUUCUACAAAAAACUCACGCACACCCUCCCUUCUCCUCCCCAUUCUCGGCCUCCCCUCUCUCUCUCUAUACUCUCUUUUCCUCCAUUGAUGUCCAUUGAAGAAAGCUUAGAGAAGCUUCAUCAAACACUACUAUGAGAUAAUCCACCAUCCAAUCCAAUCAAAUACUAUCAUAUCUCAUCAAAUAUAAGAAGCUAGAGCUAAGAUCAAAGUUGGAGCAAAGUCUUGAUCACCUUUUAAAUCCUUGAACACGAGAAGAGCAAGGAAGUAAGUAACUCCACUUUGACGGGAGAUUUUGAGUAAGGUCUUCAGGAUAAGCGGAUGGGAGUAUGGUGCGAUGCUGGUGGGGAAUGUUUCGGGUUGACAUUUCCUUUCUCUAUCGUAUGACUGUUUUGUCGAUAGAGUUUUGAUAGGAAGUUAUGUUAUAGUAAAUCAAGCAUUUUACUCACGAUUAUGUGUCCUCAUACAUAUAGUCGGUUCACCUUUUGUUAUCACACUCUGAAUAUUUUGACGCUACAUGAAAAUUGAGCUAUACUUGUUUUGCUUUUCAUGUUGA